rnacentral:rRNA from 1 species
CAAUAGCGUAUAUUAAAGUUGUUGCGGUAAAAAAGCUCGUAGUUGGAUUUCUGUUGAGAGCGACCGGUCCAUACCAUGUAUGCGUAUCUGGCUUGCUCUCGGCAUCCUCUCGAUAGACGUUACUGCGCUCGAUUGCGUGGUGCGGAUCUCGGGACUUUUACUUUGAGGAAAUUAGAGUGUUCACGGCAGGCUUUCGCCAGAAUACAUUAGCAUGGAAUAAUACUAUAGGAUCUUGGUUCUAUUUUGUUGGUUUCUAGAAUUGAGAUAAUGAUUAAUAGGGACAAUUGGGGGCAUUCGUAUCAACACGUCAGAGGUGGAAUUCUUGGAUUGUGUUGCGACGAACUACUGCGAAAGCAUUUGCCAAGGAUGUUUUCAUUGA